AUGGAGGAGGACUGGUGAGGCAUGGGAAUGGUGAGGUUUGCAGCAGCAGAUCCCUUCAACAUUUCGGUAGUAAUUACUCGGCCACGGAGCCCGACACAACAGGUCUUCCUUUAAACCCACCUCAAGUUUGCACGCCAUCCCCAGAUGGUGAGCAGAGCCAAUGGCUGCAGGUGUCCACGCUUCACAAGCGAAUAAUGUCUUCAGCAGACUGACCUUCACUCUCUGCAAGAAGCCAAGCUGAGAAAGAUACUGUAACCUCUCAACUUGUUUGCGACUGACACGGACCUUGGAAAAAAAACCCAG